GUUUAUUUGUAAUGAAAAGCUAAUUGCCAAUAUUUCUAAUCAAGAGAUUUCAAACUAAAACACCCAAGUAAACAUCCAACUGAUCACGAGAAAUCGGUGUCGCAGCACUUGAGCAAGACAGAGGGGUGCCAGAUGGCCCUGGUCCCCCGCCCCGCCUCUAGGGAUGCGCCUCCAAAAAACGCCUCCCUGGAUAACCCGCCACCUAAGGACAACCGUCUGGGGACCGCUCGGCGGGCGCCUAAUUGGCUGCGGACUCCGAACCUCUUGGCGCGCCUCGCUCUCCGGCUUGUGAGCCCUGGAGCCCGCAGAUCGGUCUUGGGACUUCUAGGGCCGGGAGGCGCGGGCGGAGAGGACUGGCGAGUCCAAGGCGCUGCUCGGAUUCCUCGGCGCCGGCCUGCCCGCAGGCCUGCUAUUGCCCACCGGCUACGGGGCCCGGCCUCCCCGCCGCGCCUCUAAGCAGGGGGACUCCCCGGCGGGCGCGCCACACAACGUCUCCCUCUGGCGCGCGCACCGGCCACUCCACAGCCCGGCCGCCGAGGACGCCGCGUCGCCGCCGCAGCCUGGCGCGCUCCCGACCCGCCAGCCAAUAGCCAGAGUCGCUCGGUGCACGUGAUACGCGUCAGCCAAUGGAGAGUCGAGGAGGUCCGUGACGCAAUGGACAGCUCCUAGGGUUUUCGAACCCGCGGGCGAGGCUAAAAGGCUGAUCAGGGCUGUGUGGUCGAGCGCUGAGCCUACGGCGUGUGCGUAGAAAGCGCGAGGACCCUCAGGGCGGUGAGAGAGCGCGGCUGCCAGCCUGCAGCACGGGGCAUUGACUCCCCAGGCGCCCCGUGCAGAGUCGCAGGGCACUAUCUUGGAUGUUUUAUUGCUGUGAAGAGACACCGUGACCAUAGCAGCUCUUCUAAAGGAAAUCGUGUAAUUGGGACUCACAGUUUCAGAGUGUCGCUUUCUGACGUGGCGAAGCUCUAGGUUCUGCCUGUCUCUUCCUCUGCAAUGCUGGGACUUCAGAUACUUAUUACAUGUGUUCUGGGGAUCUGAACCCAAGCCCUUAUGCUUUGGUGGCAAAUACUUGGCUGAUGUAGCCAUCUCCUAGCCUUUGGAUGCAAAGUAUCUUCCGUAUUAUCAAGGAUGACAGCCUUAACCAUGGAAAGCGAGGUAACCAUGUGACCAAAGCUCUCUGGCACCAAAUAGCAUUUCCUGCAAACUCACUCCUAAUACUGAACAGAGAGCUUCAGGUAGCCCAGGACUUGGGAAACAAAGCUGUAUCAGAGCUCUACCUGAUUUGGUAAACCAGGCACUAGUGGGACACAACCAUGUUGGUUCAGUGUGUGGUAUCAUUAGAUGUUCUAGUGCUUUGGAGUCCGAGCUGAGUACCCCCGACAGAAUGCUGAGUACCCCGGACAGAAUGCUAAGUACCCCUGACAGAGUGCUGAGUACCUCUGACAGAGUGCUGAGUACCCCCACAGAGUGCUGAGUACCCCUGACAGAGUUGCUUUGGCAUGCAAAGCAUAAAAUGCUUACAGAGAAACUGUGUCCCUCCAGCUCUAGUGGGUUUGCCAUUUUUUAGCCCUUGCAUAUGGACUCAUCAGCCAUUUAGAGUAAGGUAGAAUCUGAAGCCUGCUUUAUCCAGUAUGGGUAUCCAUUUAUCCCAGAAUGACUUAUUGACAAGAACUCCCUUCCCCUCAUUGAGUCACCGUGUGUGUGCUACUGUGUACUGCUGAUUUCCUAGGUCUGCCCCUAUGCUAACACACACUUGCUACUGUGAGGAUUUUGUUCUUUCAGACAAGGUCUAAUCGUGUAGCCCUGUCUGGCCCAGAAGUUACUAUGUAGACCCAGUUGUUGUCAAAAUCACAGAGAUCCUCCUGCCUCUGCCUCCUGAGUGCUGGGGUCAAUAGAAUGCACCACCAAGACCAGCUACUAUUAGGGCUAUAAACCAACUCUUAAAUGAAGUAAAACGUAUUUCUUCAAAAUAGUUUUUCCUAUAUGUCUCAGCAUAAUCAGCAGAAUCAGCUUUCAACUUUCUACCCAAAGGUAAUAAACUACGGAGAUUCUUUUAAGGAAGUCAACAACACUCCACUAACAUCACCAUAACAGACAAAUCACUGGAGGUUGAUUGUAAGCAAAGGUCAGAAUUCAUUUGCCACAGUCCCAGAGGCUGGAAGUCCAGGAUCAAGGCCUUGCUGGAUGUGGUGCUUGACAAGGCUUCCAAGAUCAAACCUUGAAUGCCCCAUCCUCUGGAGGACAGGGGACAGGAGAGCAAAAGGCAACCAAGGUAGAGGAAUCUCAGCUUCUCUCUGGGCCUCUUAUAAGGACUCUGUCCAUGACUUCAUCAGCCCGUACAGCGCUCCCUCCAACACUGUCCAGCUGACCACUGUAUGUUGCUUAGAAACUCUAGGAGUACACACAGACCCCAACAAGGCUUUGGAUCCAUGACUCCACCGGAUGGAUUCGUUCACUUGCUGUCUGUUGACUUUAUCUCAGCGAAGUUUUGGCAUUCUGAAUAUAGGUCUGUACAUGUUAAAUUUACCCCUAAAUUCUGCAUAUUUUAACCCUAUUAUAAACUAGCCCUGUUUUAGAUUUUUAUUGUUAGCUAUUAAGGAUGGUUUUUAUUGACUUUAUUCUGAAAUCACUGACUAACCUCAUUUAUUAAUUCAUGAAAAUUCUCUGUCAAUUAUGAUUUUCUGCACCUGUGAAUAAGAAGAUACUGUCACCUAAUUCUUUGCAAAUUUAUAUGUAUUAGUGUUUUGAGUGCAUGCCUGUCUAUGAACCACAUGCAUGGGUAGUGCCCACAGAGACCAAAAGAAAGUGUUAGAUUCUUUGGAACUGGAGUUACAGACAUUUUCCUUUUUUAUUGGACUGUCUAGAACUUCCACUGCCAUUCAAAUACAGAUGUAAACUGUGAAUACUGAACCAUUUCUGACUUUCUCUUUUUUUUUCUUUUCUUUUUUUCAGAGCUGGGGACCGAGCCCAGGGUCUUGCGCUUGCUAGGCAAGCGCUCUACCACUGAGCUAAAUCCCCAACCCCCAUUUCUGACUUUCUUAAGGAAGUGUUUAAUCUACUGUUAUUAAUUACUAAUCUUUUAAAUUAGGUAACUUCAGUUUUUCCGAAUGAUCUUUACUAGAUUAAAGUGCUUUCCUUCUAGUCAUAGUUUUGAGAAGAUUUUGGAAAAUAGUUUUACUUUUAGUUAUAUGUGUUUGCAGGGUUCUGCACACAUGAGUGCAGUAACCUGCAGAGACCAGAAGGGGGCAUCAGAUUCUCCGAGAGCUGGAGUUAGCCUGUAGUAGGGCCUGCAAGCUGGGGGCUGGAAUUUAGGUCCUCUCCAAGAGCAGCCAACUUUUAAUCACUGAGCCAUCUUUCCAUCCUUGAAGAUUUGUGCUUUUGUUUUGGGGUUUCUGUUUGUUUGUUUAAAUGUAUGUACAGGUGCUAAACCUUGUCGAACACUGCUCCUAUAUGCCUUGAAAUAAACACUUGCUAAUCUUUUAAAUCCAUAUUAGUCUGGUGAAUAAAUAAAUAUAUUUUUUAAAAUAUUA
rnacentral:lncRNA from 1 species